UACGGGGGGGGCAAGCGUUGUUCGGAAUUACUGGGCGUAAAGGGCUCGUAGGUGGCCAACUAAGUCAGACGUGAAAUCCCUCGGCUUAACCGGGGAACUGCGUCUGAUACUGGAUGGCUUGAGUUCGGGAGAGGGAUGCGGAAUUCCAGGUGUAGCGGUGAAAUGCGUAGAUAUCUGGAGGAAUACCGGUGGCGAAGGCGGCAUCCUGGACCGACAUUGACGCUGAAAACCGAAAGCUAGGGGAGCAAACGGG
rnacentral:rRNA from 1 species